rnacentral:lncRNA from 1 species
AUGCCGAUGGUGGCUCAAGCUUGGCUUGGGACAACCCAGGGCCAUCCAACAGUGCUUCUUCACAUGAGGAAUACAGAUUGUAACAUAGCUUACAGUGAGCAAGAGAGCUGCGGGAGAACACUACAAGAAAGGGCUCCUGGCCAGUCAGCUGGCACUGCACAGGAGAGUGCUGUAAUCAUCAUGUCUAGGGCAAGAAGCAUGAGACUCCGGACCCUGGCAGGCAAGAGGAGGGGCUUGUCACAAACCUUUAUAGUAAACCCUAUGAAUAAUAUACUGAGUUGUUCGGGUUCAUACUACCAUCUACAGGAGACAAACCAACAAGAGAACAGAUGGCAAGAUAUACUCUGUCAACAAGCUUUUACUAACCACCUACUAUGUGCCUAUGCUAGGCACUGGAGAUAUAAAAACAAAAAUAAUGCACUUCCUGCCUUCAUAGAGCUCACAUUCCAUCCAUCACAAAGAUGA